CAGUUCGCAGAACUCACGAACGGAGCCACAUCUGCGGAGUAAGAUAUCAGCAUACGGCUGCCGUUUAGCCAAUGAGCGGUGAGGCAACCCAUUCUCUUCACCAAUCAGAAGACACAAUUCUACCUCAUCAUUACGCACACGUCGACGCAGAGAGUUCGGUCGGAGCUGCAGGUGGGAAGAGUCAGCAGAGUUUUACUCACCGUGUGGAUUUUCAUUCCUUCUAAUGCUGUUAGCAGUGUGCGUCCAUGAGACUAAACCACACCAUCACUCACAGAUACCUGAGUGGCAGUGGAUUUUGUGGAUACGCCAUCUGUUCUUAUUGGACAACCCUGUUGAGAUUGUGGAUUCAUAGAGUCAGCACCUUAUCAUCUACAUCAGUCAUAGUCAGGAGGUCAAGUCCAUUCCUCUUACAGUGACCUCCUCCAUUACAUCUACACUGUGGAGGGUGCUAAGUGCUGUCUGAGAUACCCUCUUGUAAUCAGUGUUAUGCUUAGAGCUACAUUGGGUAUUAGUGAUUGCAGGUACUCAGUAUGGAGCCCUUUUCCCACCAAACGUGCACAGUAUUGCAAAACAUUAUCAAUUAAUAUUUAAUCUUCAUUUAUUAUGUAUAACUGUAGGGAAACCAUUACUUAAGCAGGCAUAAAGAAAUGCAAAACAGUUGUGCUACUGUUCAAAUUAGUCAUGCUACCUGUGGUCAAUGUUUGGGAAAAUGAAAAAUAAAAAUCUUUUAUGAGGCAUUGUA